rnacentral:rRNA from 1 species
GUCUAUGGCCAUGCCACCCUCAAUGCACCCAAUCUUGUCUGAUCUUGGAUGCUAAGCAGGCUAGGGCCUGGUUAGUACUUGGAUGGAAGAACCCUCAAUAGCCAGGAAGACAUGUGUU